GGACCGGUUAGCUCAGUCAGUUGAGCAUAGCCCUAACAACACUAAGGUUGCGGGUUCGAUUCCCGUUUGGUCCC
rfam:Apaloderma vittatum contig13455, whole genome shotgun sequence.